UACGAGGGGGGCGAGCGUUGUUCGGAAUUAUUGGGCGUAAAGGGUGCGUAGGCGGUUUGGUAAGUCUUGUGUGAAAUCUCCAGGCUCAACUUGGAGUCUGCACGAGAAACUGCCGGGCUUGAGUGUGGGAGAGGUGAGUGGAAUUCCCGGUGUAGCGGUGAAAUGCGUAGAUAUCAGGAGGAACACCGGUGGCGAAGGCGGAUCUCUGGGCCGAUACUGACGCUGAGGAGCGAAAGCGUGGGGAGCGAACAGG
rnacentral:rRNA from 1 species